rnacentral:tRNA from 1 species
GGGGGUAUAGCUCAGUGGCAGAGUGCGUGCUUAGCAUGCAUGAGGUCCUGGGUUUGAUUCCCAGUACCUUGA